UACGAAGGGGGCUAGCGUUGCUCGGAAUGACUGGGCGUAAAGGGUGCGUAGGCGGCGCGGUAAGUCGGGUGUGAAAUUUCGAGGCUUAACUUCGAAACUGCAUUCGAUACUGCCAUGCUAGAGGACUGGAGAGGAGACUGGAAUUUACGGUGUAGCGGUGAAAUGCGUAGAUAUCGUAAGGAAGACCAGUGGCGAAGGCGGGUCUCUGGACAGUUCCUGACGCUGAGGCACGAAGGCCAGGGGAGCAAACGGG
rnacentral:rRNA from 1 species